CAAGAGGUAGUUUAAUAUAAAAUAUUAGUUUUGGGAAUUAAUGAUGAAGAAAUUCUUUUCUCUUGA
rnacentral:tRNA from 2 species